CCUACGGGAGGCAGCAGUGGGGAAUUUUGGACAAUGGGCGAAAGCCUGAUCCAGCAAUGCCGCGUGUGGGAAGAAGGCCUUCGGGUUGUAAACCACUUUUGUACGGAACGAAACGGUUCGCUUUAAUACAGUGGGCUAAUGACGGUACCGUAAGAAUAAGCACCGGCUAACUACGUGCCAGCAGCCGCGGUAAUACGUAGGGUGCGAGCGUUAAUCGGAAUUACUGGGCGUAAAGCGUGCGCAGGCGGUUAUGUAAGACAGUUGUGAAAUCCCCGGGCUCAACCUGGGAAUUGCAUCUGUGACUGCAUAGCUAGAGUACGGUAGAGGGGGAUGGAAUUCCGCGUGUAGCAGUGAAAUGCGUAGAUAUGCGGAGGAACACCGAUGGCGAAGGCAAUCCCCCUGGACCUGUACUGACGCUCAUGCACGAAAGCGUGGGGAGCAAACAGGAUUAGAUACCCUGGUAGUCCACGCCCUAAACGAUGUCAACUGGUUGUUGGGUGCAUUAGUACUCAGUAACGAAGCUAACGCGUGAAGUUGACCGCCUGGGGAGUACGGCCGCAAGGUUGAAACGUUAAGGAAUUGACGGCUGAGACGNGCGACGACGACGACGACGGGAGGAGG
rnacentral:rRNA from 1 species